rnacentral:rRNA from 1 species
UUAAGCGACUAAGCGUACACGGUGGAUGCCCUGGCAGUCAGAGGCGAUGAAGGACGUGCUAAUCUGCGAAAAGCGUCGGUAAGGUGAUAUGAACCGUUACAGCCGGCGAUGUCCGAAUGGGGAAACCCAGUGCAAUUCGUUGCACUAUCGUUAACUGAAUACAUAGGUUAACGAGGCGAACCGGGGGAACUGAAACAUCUAAGUACCCCGAGGAAAAGAAAUCAACCGAGAUUCCCCCAGUAGCGGCGAGCGAACGGGGAGCAGCCCAGAGUCUGAAUCAGCUUGUGUGUUAGUGGAACGGUCUGGAAAGUCCGACGGUACAGGGUGAUAGUCCCGUACACCAAAAUGCACAGGCUGUGAACUCGAAGAGUAGGGCGGGACACGUGGUAUCCUGUCUGAAUAUGGGGGGACCAUCCUCCAAGGCUAAAUACUCCUGACUGACCGAUAGUGAACCAGUACCGUGAGGGAAAGGCGAAAAGAACCCCGGCGAGGGGAGUGAAAAAGAACCUGAAACCGUGUACGUACAAGCAGUGGGAGCACCUUCGGGUGUGACUGCGUACCUUUUGUAUAAUGGGUCAGCGACUUAUAUUCUGUAGCAAGGUUAACCGUAUAGGGGAGCCGCAGGGAAACCGAGUCUUAACUGGGCGUUAAGUUGCAGGGUAUAGACCCGAAACCCGGUGAUCUAGCCAUGGGCAGGUUGAAGGUUGGGUAACACUAACUGGAGGACCGAACCGACUAAUGUUGAAAAAUUAGCGGAUGACUUGUGGCUGGGGGUGAAAGGCCAAUCAAACCGGGAGAUAGCUGGUUCUCCCCGAAAGCUAUUUAGGUAGCGCCUCGUGAAUUCAUCUUCGGGGGUAGAGCACUGUUUCGGCUAGGGGGUCAUCCCGACUUACCAACCCGAUGCAAACUACGAAUACCGAAGAAUGUUAUCACGGGAGACACACGGCGGGUGCUAACGUCCGUCGUGAAGAGGGAAACAACCCAGACCGCCAGCUAAGGUCCCAAAGUCAUGGUUAAGUGGGAAACGAUGUGGGAAGGCACAGACAGCCAGGAUGUUGGCUUAGAAGCAGCCAUCAUUUAAAGAAAGCGUAAUAGCUCACUGGUCGAGUCGGCCUGCGCGGAAGAUGUAACGGGGCUAAACCAUGCACCGAAGCUGCGGCAGCGACACUAUGUGUUGUUGGGUAGGGGAGCGUUCUGUAAGCCUGCGAAGGUGUGCUGUGAGGCAUGCUGGAGGUAUCAGAAGUGCGAAUGCUGACAUAAGUAACGAUAAAGCGGGUGAAAAGCCCGCUCGCCGGAAGACCAAGGGUUCCUGUCCAACGUUAAUCGGGGCAGGGUGAGUCGACCCCUAAGGCGAGGCCGAAAGGCGUAGUCGAUGGGAAACAGGUUAAUAUUCCUGUACUUGGUGUUACUGCGAAGGGGGGACGGAGAAGGCUAUGUUAGCCGGGCGACGGUUGUCCCGGUUUAAGCAUGUAGGCUGGUUGUCCAGGCAAAUCCGGAUAAUCAAGGCUGAGGUGUGAUGACGAGGCACUACGGUGCUGAAGUAACAAAUGCCCUGCUUCCAGGAAAAGCCUCUAAGCAUCAGGUAACAUCAAAUCGUACCCCAAACCGACACAGGUGGUCAGGUAGAGAAUACCAAGGCGCUUGAGAGAACUCGGGUGAAGGAACUAGGCAAAAUGGUGCCGUAACUUCGGGAGAAGGCACGCUGGUGUGUAGGUGAAGUCCCUGCGGAUGGAGCUGAGACCAGUCGAAGAUACCAGCUGGCUGCAACUGUUUAUUAAAAACACAGCACUGUGCAAACACGAAAGUGGACGUAUACGGUGUGACGCCUGCCCGGUGCCGGAAGGUUAAUUGAUGGGGUUAUCCGUAAGGAGAAGCUCUUGAUCGAAGCCCCGGUAAACGGCGGCCGUAACUAUAACGGUCCUAAGGUAGCGAAAUUCCUUGUCGGGUAAGUUCCGACCUGCACGAAUGGCGUAAUGAUGGCCAGGCUGUCUCCACCCGAGACUCAGUGAAAUUGAACUCGCUGUGAAGAUGCAGUGUACCCGCGGCAAGACGGAAAGACCCCGUGAACCUUUACUAUAGCUUGACACUGAACAUUGAGCCUUGAUGUGUAGGAUAGGUGGGAGGCUUUGAAGCGUGGACGCCAGUCUGCGUGGAGCCAACCUUGAAAUACCACCCUUUAAUGUUUGAUGUUCUAACGUUGGCCCCUUACCGGGGUUGCGGACAGUGUCUGGUGGGUAGUUUGACUGGGGCGGUCUCCUCCCAAAGCGUAACGGAGGAGCACGAAGGUUAGCUAAUCCUGGUCGGACAUCAGGAGGUUAGUGCAAUGGCAUAAGCUAGCUUGACUGCGAGCGUGACGGCGCGAGCAGGUGCGAAAGCAGGUCAUAGUGAUCCGGUGGUUCUGAAUGGAAGGGCCAUCGCUCAACGGAUAAAAGGUACUCCGGGGAUAACAGGCUGAUACCGCCCAAGAGUUCAUAUCGACGGCGGUGUUUGGCACCUCGAUGUCGGCUCAUCACAUCCUGGGGCUGAAGUAGGUCCCAAGGGUAUGGCUGUUCGCCAUUUAAAGUGGUACGCGAGCUGGGUUUAGAACGUCGUGAGACAGUUCGGUCCCUAUCUGCCGUGGGCGCUGGAGAAUUGAGGGGGGCUGCUCCUAGUACGAGAGGACCGGAGUGGACGCAUCACUGGUGUUCGGGUUGUCAUGCCAAUGGCACUGCCCGGUAGCUAAAUGCGGAAGAGAUAAGUGCUGAAAGCAUCUAAGCACGAAACUUGCCCCGAGAUGAGUUCUCCCUGAGACUUUAAGUCUCCUGAAGGAACGUUAAAGACGAUGACGUUGAUAGGCCGGGUGUGUAAGCGCAGCGAUGCGUUGAGCUAACCGGUACUAAUGAACCGUGAGGCUUAACCUU